UACGUAGGGUCCGAGCGUUGUCCGGAAUUAUUGGGCGUAAAGGGCUCGUAGGCGGUUCGUCACGUCGGGAGUGAAAACUCGGAGCUUAACUCCGAGCCUGCUUCCGAUACGGGCAGAUUAGAGGUAGGCAGGGGAGAGCGGAACUCCUGGUGUAGCGGUGGAAUGCGCAGAUAUCAGGAAGAACACCGGUGGCGAAGGCGGCUCUCUGGGCCUUACCUGACGCUGAGGAGCGAAAGCGUGGGUAGCGAACAGG
rnacentral:rRNA from 1 species